AAUAGAUACCCUGGUAGUCCACGCCGUAAACGAUGAGUGCUAAGUGUUGGGGGGUUUCCGCCCCUCAGUGCUGCAGCUAACGCAUUAAGCACUCCGCCUGGGGAGUACGGUCGCAAGACUGAAACUCAAAGGAAUUGACGGGGGCCCGCACAAGCGGUGGAGCAUGUGGUUUAAUUCGAAGCAACGCGAAGAACCUUACCAGGUCUUGACAUCCCGGUGACCACUAUGGAGACAUAGUUUCCCCUUCGGGGGCAACGGUGACAGGUGGUGCAUGGUUGUCGUCAGCUCGUGUCGUGAGAUGUUGGGUUAAGUCCCGCAACGAGCGCAACCCUUAUUCUUAGUUGCCAUCAUUCAGUUGGGCACUCUAAGGAGACUGCCGGUGAUAAACCGGAGGAAGGUGGGGAUGACGUCAAAUCAUCAUGCCCCUUAUGACCUGGGCUACACACGUGCUACAAUGGACGGCACAAACGGUUGCCAACCCGCGAGGGGGAGCUAAUCCGAUAAAACCGUUCUCAGUUCGGAUUGUAGGCUGCAACUCGCCUAC
rnacentral:rRNA from 1 species